UACGGAGGGUGCGAGCGUUGUCCGGAAUCACUGGGCGUAAAGGGCGCGUAGGCGGCGCGGUAAGCGUGCGGUGAAAGCCCGGGGCUCAACCCCGGGUCGGCCGUGCGGACUGCCGGGCUCGAGCACUGUAGAGGCGGGUGGAAUUCCGGGUGUAGCGGUGGAAUGCGUAGAGAUCCGGAAGAACACCGGUGGCGAAGGCGGCCCGCUGGGCAGUGGCUGACGCUGAGGCGCGAAGGCAUGGGGAGCGAACGGG
rnacentral:rRNA from 1 species